UGAAAGCUUUAAUUAUUAUACACUCAUAAUUUAGAAAACAGAAAAUGGAAACUUAAAGCACAUAUUUAACCCCAUAUUAUAUAUCAUAUGGAUUUUGAAUUCUGUUUUUUUUUUAAAAUUUUUUAUAUUUGACAGCUAAUAACACUUAUGCUAACAGAUAUGUUGGUGCCAGUUUUCCUUUAAACUGGAAUGGAGCUCAGGCUUAUUGCAGAGCGUUUCACACGGAUUACAAGAGAUUACAGUGCAAUACAGAGCACUGCAUUGCGUCAGGGUUCAUCUUGGAUUGGGACACAUGGAAGUGGUCAGAUGGAACAAACACAUCGAACCUCGCAUGGCUUUCUGGACAGCCUGAUAAUGCUAAAUACUAUGAAAACUGUGCUGUGUUUCAAAAUGGAAUGUUCGGUGACACAAAAUGCGAUGAGCUCCACUAUUUCAUCUGUCACAUCACUCAUCCAGUAAGGGAACAGCAAAUAAUGAGACUGCAAAUAAAGUCUGAUGACAGCGUGUCUGAUUCUGCCAUGCAGUCGACCAUUUUGGACCUGAUCAUGAAGAAGCUAGAGGAACAUGGCAUGCUGAAGAACACCACAGUGACCUGGAGGGUGCUGUCAAAUGGUCCAGUCUUUUACAAGAAAAAACACCUCUUAUUACCUCUGAUCUCUGUUGUUUAUAAUUUAAUAUUAUAUUAUAUUAUAUUAUAUUAUAUUAUAUUAUAUUAUAUUAU